UACGUAGGGUGCGAGCGUUAAUCGGAAUUACUGGGCGUAAAGCGUGCGCAGGCGGUUUGUUAAGACAGGUGUGAAAUCCCCGGGCUCAACCUGGGAAUGGCGCUUGUAACUGGCAGGCUAGAGUGUGUCAGAGGGAGGUAGAAUUCCACGUGUAGCAGUGAAAUGCGUAGAGAUGUGGAGGAACACCGGUGGCGAAGGCGGCAUCCUGGACCGGCAUUGACGCUGAGGCGCGAAAGCUAGGGGAGCAAACGGG
rnacentral:rRNA from 1 species